rnacentral:rRNA from 1 species
UAAAAAAUUUGGCGGUAUUUUAGUCUAUUCAGAGGAACUUAUUUUAUAAUCGAUAAUCCACGAUGGACCUUACUUAAAUUUGUUUUCAGUUUAUAUACCGUCGUUAUUAGAAUAUUUUAUAAGAAUAAUAAUUUUCAUAAUUUUUAAAAAGAAAUUAAAUCAGAUCAAGGUGUAGCUUAUGUUUAAGUAAAAAUGAGUUACAAUAAAAUUAUUUAAAUGAAUAUAAAUUUGAAAUGUUUAUUGAAAGUGGAUUUGAUAGUAAAAUUAUAUAGAUUAAUAAUUUGAUUUUAGCUCUAAAAUAUGUACACAUCGCCCGUCACUCUUAUUAUUAAAAUAAGAUAAGUCGUAACAUAGUAGAUGUACUGGAAAGUGUAUCUAGAAUGCAAUUUAAAGCUUUUAAAGUAAAGUAUUUCAUUUACAUUGAAAAGAUUUUUGUGCAAAUCAAUAUGAAUUGAUUAAAUUUUAUUUAUUAAAUUUUUGUAUUGAUUUUUUAAUUUAUUAAAAAUAAUUAUUUAUUUAAUAGUUUUAGUAUUUUAUAAAGAAAAAAUAUUAUUUAUUAUAGUUUAAUAGUAUUGUAAAAUAAAAUUGAAAUAAAUUGAAAAAUUUUUAUUUUAUAA